GAUGAACGCUGGCGGCGUGCCUAAUACAUGCAAGUCGAGCGAACAGAUAAGGAGCUUGCUCCUUUGAAGUUAGCGGCGGACGGGUGAGUAACACGUGGGUAACCUACCUAUAAGACUGGGAUAACUUCGGGAAACCGGAGCUAAUACCGGAUAACAUUUAGAACCGCAUGGUUCUAAAGUGAAAGAUGGUUUUGCCAUCACUUAUAGAUGGACCCGCGCCGUAUUAGCUAGUUGGUAAGGUAACGGCUUACCAAGGCGACGAUACGUAGCCGACCUGAGAGGGUGAUCGGCCACACCGGAACUGAGACACGGUCCAGACUCCUACGGGAGGCAGCAGUAGGGAAUCUUCCGCAAUGGGCGAAAGCCUGACGGAGCAACGCCGCGUGAGUGAUGAAGGGUUUCGGCUCGUAAAACUCUGUUAUUAGGGAAGAACAAAUGUGUAAGUAACUGUGCACAUCUUGACGGUACCUAAUCAGAAAGCCACGGCUAACUACGUG
rnacentral:rRNA from 1 species